AUACAAGUUCUGAAAAGGACAUUCAUCAAUAAAUCCAGAAAGCUAUAUACAUUUUCCUUUGAGUGAUCAACCUAACAAUUCUGCAUUUGGAACAAAGUGUUUGCAUCUUCAUCAGAAAGCCUGACCAGCAGAGAUUUGUCAGAACUCUUAACUCCCAUGGAUUCAUCUGAUAACUGCUUGAGAUACUCCAUUAAGAGGAAAUAACGUGUAUGGUGGCUAGAAUAUAUAAGCACUAUUAAGGAAGAUAAACAUGGCAUUGUGUAUUUGGAUGGGUUUUCUACAUUUAGGAGGUCAGAUUAUGUUCUGAGAAGAAAAACAUUAGAAGCAACAUUUCAGCAAGAGUACACAGUGGACUACUGCUGAGAGUGUGGGAGCUUUGAGCAGCUGUGAGUGGGG
rnacentral:lncRNA from 1 species